AGGUCUAUGAACCAAACGAUGCCUCACGGAAGGAGCGUCUGGAGUCCCUGGUGUUCGGCCUGCUGCGGCAGAGGAAGCUCGACUUCCUGGAUAUUUACAGCGAGGAGAUGAUCAUGGCGGUGAAGGCCAUCGUCUCUCUGUGUGUGGCAGAAAAUGUUUUGCAAAUAGAAGACAUCGACACUGAAGUGGUCACUAAGUGAGUAACAGCAGA